UACGUAGGCAGCGAGCGUUGUUCGGAGUUACUGGGCGUAAAGGGUGCGUAGGCGGUUGUUUAAGUUUGGGGUGAAAUCUCCCGGCUCAACUGGGAGGGUGCGCCGAAUACUGAAUGACUAGAGUGCGGGAGAGGAUAGUGGAAUUCCUGGUGUAGCGGUGAAAUGCGUAGAUAUCAGGAGGAACACCGGUGGUGUAGACGGCUAUCUGGACCGUAACUGACGCUGAGGCACGAAAGCGUGGGUAGCAAACAGG
rnacentral:rRNA from 1 species